AUGUCCUCUUGAAGAUUCUCCUCCAGCUCUAGGUCCCACACCUAGCAAGGAGACAUGUUUUGGGGUUGACUUCACCGGAGACGUGUCCUGCUGUCCUCUCAACCAUCUUUGUCCAACUCAAGGUCUUGGGUCUAAUGAGGAGUCAUCUUGGGGGGUUUCAGCCUGGAAGAGCUGCAUCUUGGGGCCUCAACCAUCCUCCUCCACCUUCUCAACCAUCUCAAUCAUCUUUCUCCAACCUCAGUGUCCAACGAGGGGAUGUGUUUUAGGGUUGACUUCACUGGACACGUGUCCUGGUGCCCUCUCAACCAACUCGAGGUCCCAUGACCAAUUAGGAGCCACGUUUUGGGUUUGAACCCAGCAGAGCUGCAUCUUGGGGACUUCUUGACCACCCUCCUCCAACCUCAGUGUCCAAUGAGGAGCCAUGUUUUAGGGUUGACAUCACUGGACACGUGUCCUGGUGUCCUCUCAACCAUCUACGUCCAACUUGAGGUCCCGUGGCCAAUUAGGAGCCACAUUUUGGGUUUCAGCCCGGAAGAGCUGCAUCUUGGGGACUUCUCGACCAUCCUCCUCCAACCUCAGUGCCCAACGAUGACCCACAAUUUGGGUCUUGACAUCACCAGACACGUGUCCUGGUGCCCUCUCAACCAACUUGAGGUCCUGUGACCAAUUAGGAGCCACGUUUUGGGUUUGAACCCAGCAGAGCUGCAUCGUGGGGCCUCCUCGACCAUCCCCAUCCCAACCCGGUGCCCCCGACCCUUCCAGGUGCCACCUGGGGUCACCCCACGGCGUGGGCUUCCCGGAGCCGGGCGGAAGGUGCCACGGCCGUGGACGGAUUAGAGGCGAAGGCGGAGGAAGCCGUUUCCUCCUCCGGCCCCAGAUAAAAACCCGGGGCUGGCGGUGGCAGGAGGAAGACGCGCCCGCGGCCGCGGCGCUUCACCAGCUCGGGUGGAGCCUCCCCUCCCCGUGGCCGCGCGGCCUCACGCCAGCCCCCGCUCCUGGCCCUCCGGUAUGAAGGUCCUGGUCGUGAUGCUCCUGGUGCUGGUGACUGCAGCCUCGAGGAACGUCCUGUGGGUGAUCGAGGGGACCUCCU